rnacentral:rRNA from 1 species
GAUGAACGCUGGCGGUAUGCUUAACACAUGCAAGUCGAACGGUCACUUCGGUGAUAGUGGCGGACGGGUGAGUAACGCGUGAGAAUCUGGCUUCAGGUCUGGGACAACAGUUGGAAACGACUGCUAAUACCGGAUGUGCCUUAUGGUGAAAGAUUAAUUGCCUGAAGAUGAGCUCGCGUCAGAUUAGCUAGUUGGUGGUGUAAAGGACUACCAAGGCGACGAUCUGUAGCUGGUCUGAGAGGACGAUCAGCCACACUGGAACUGAGACACGGUCCAGACUCCUACGGGAGGCAGCAGUGGGGAAUUUUCCGC